AGCGAACGCUGGCGGCAGGCCUAACACAUGCAAGUCGAACGAACUCUUCGGAGUUAGUGGCGGACGGGUGAGUAACACGUGGGAACGUGCCUUUUGGUUCGGAAUAACUCAGGGAAACUUGUGCUAAUACCGAAUGUGCCCUUCGGGGGAAAGAUUUAUCGCCAUUAGAGCGGCCCGCGUCUGAUUAGCUAGUUGGUGAGGUAACGGCUCACCAAGGCGACGAUCAGUAGCUGGUCUGAGAGGAUGACCAGCCACACUGGGACUGAGACACGGCCCAGACUCCUACGGGAGACAGCAGUGGGGAAUCUUGCGCAAUGGGCGAAAGCCUGACGCAGCCAUGCCGCGUGAAUGAUGAAGGUCUUAGGAUUGUAAAAUUCUUUCACCGGGGACGAUAAUGACGGUACCCGGAGAAGAAGCCCCGGCUAACUUCGUG
rnacentral:rRNA from 1 species